rnacentral:rRNA from 1 species
GAUGAACGCUGGCGGCGUGCCUAAUACAUGCAAGUCGAGCGAACAGACGAGGAGCUUGCUCCUUUGACGUUAGCGGCGGACGGGUGAGUAACACGUGGGUAACCUACCUAUAAGACUGGGAUAACUUCGGGAAACCGGAGCUAAUACCGGAUAAUAUUUCGAACCGCAUGGUUCGAUAGUGAAAGAUGGAUCUGCUAUCACUUAUAGAUGGACCUGCGCCGUAUUAGCUAGUUGGUAAGGUAACGGCUUACCAAGGCAACGAUACGUAGCCGACCUGAGAGGGUGAUCGGCCACACUGGAACUGAGACACGGUCCAGACUCCUACGGGAGGCAGCAGUAGGGAAUCUUCCGCAAUGGGCGAAAGCCUGACGGAGCAACGCCGCGUGAGUGAUGAAGGUCUUCGGAUCGUAAAACUCUGUUAUUAGGGAAGAACAAACGUGUAAGUAACUGUGCACGUCUUGACGUUACCUAAUCAGAAAGCCACGGCUAACUACGUGCCAGCAGCCGCGGUAA